rnacentral:rRNA from 1 species
GUAGGUGGCAAGCGUUGUCCGGAAUUAUUGGGCGUAAAGCGCGCGCAGGUGGUUCUUUAAGUCUGAUGUGAAAGCCCCCGGCUCAACCGGGGAGGGUCAUUGGAAACUGGGGAACUUGAGUGCAGGAGAGGAAAGUGGAAUUCCACGUGUAGCGGUGAAAUGCGUAGAUAUGUGGAGGAACACCAGUGGCGAAGGCGACUUUCUGGCCUGUAACUGACACUGAGGCGCGAAAGCGUGGGGAGCAAACAGGGAUUAGAUACCCUGGUAGUCCACGCCGUAAACGAUGAGUGCUAAGUGUUGGGGGGGUUUCCCGCCCCUCAGUGCUGCAGCUAACGCAUUAAGCACUCCGUCUGGGGAGUACGGUCGCAAGACUG